GACGAACGCUGGCGGCGUGCUUAACACAUGCAAGUCGAACGGAAAGGCCCUGCUUGCAGGGUACUCGAGUGGCAAACGGGUGAGUAACACGUGGGUGAUCUGCCCUGCACUUCGGGAUAAGCCUGGGAAACUGGGUCUAAUACCGGAUAGGAGCCAUUUUUAGUGUGAUGGUUGGAAAGUUUUUUCGGUGUAGGAUGAGCUCGCGGCCUAUCAGCUUGUUGGUGGGGUAAUGGCCUACCAAGGCGGCGACGGGUAGCCGGCCUGAGAGGUGGACGGCCACAUUGGGACUGAGAUACGGCCCAGACUCCUACGGGAGGCAGCAGUGGGGAAUAUUGCACAAUGGGCGCAAGCCUGAUGCAGCGACGCCGCGUGGGGGAUGACGGCCUUCGGGUUGUAAACUCCUUUCGCUAGGGACGAAGCUUUUUGUGACGGUACCUAGAUAAGAAGCACCGGCUAACUACGUG
rnacentral:rRNA from 1 species